UACGUAGGUGGCAAGCGUUGUCCGGAUUUACUGGGCGUAAAGAGCGCGCAGGCGGUCGGAUUAGUCGCGUGUGAAAGCCCCCGGCUCAACUGGGGAGGGUCACGCGAUACUGUUCGACUCGAAGGCAGGAGAGGGUAGUGGAAUUCCGGGUGUAGCGGUGGAAUGCGUAGAGAUCCGGAAGAACACCGGUGGCGAAGGCGGCUUACUGGUCCGGAACUGACGCUGAGGUGCGAAAGUGUGGGGAGCAAACAGG
rnacentral:rRNA from 1 species